GUUGUGAGGGUUCGGUUGUCAAGCAGCGACCAAUCAGGGCCGGGGAUGGAGGCAAGUGGGGGUCGCGCCUGGAGCUGAUCCGAGGCCUCCGGAGCCGCCGCUGCAGCCCCGAGGAGCUGAGAUGGCUCAAGCCUGACAUCCCAUGAUCUGAGGUCCUGGACCAACGCACAUCGGCUGCUGCUGUGGCCGGUCUAGAAGCACGAGGCGGUCCACGGGGCGGAGACGAGGCAAUUCCUCUGCCUGAAUGUGUGACAACUCCCUACCAACUUGAGUGGAGGAUCUGGGGGGGAUCCGCCCCCACCCCAGGAGGAAAGCGCAGUCUACUUUGCAGGGGGCGCGGCCAGCUGAAGGAUGGCCACCCCCGUGGUCACCAAGACAGCAUGGAAGUUGCAGGAGAUCGUCGCCCACGCCAGCAAUGUGUCCUCGUUGGUGCUGGGCAAGGCGUCCGGACGGCUGCUGGCCACGGGCGGGGACGACUGCCGGGUCAACCUCUGGUCCAUCAACAAACCCAACUGCAUCAUGAGCCUGACGGGCCACACGUCCCCCGUGGAGAGUGUCCGCCUCAACACCCCUGAGGAGCUGGUCGUGGCUGGCUCCCAGUCAGGAUCCAUCCGCGUCUGGGACCUGGAAGCUGCCAAAAUCCUCCGCACACUCAUGGGCCACAAGGCCAACAUCUGCAGCCUGGACUUCCACCCCUAUGGCGAGUUUGUGGCCUCGGGCUCCCAGGACACCAACAUCAAGCUCUGGGACAUCCGGAGGAAAGGCUGCGUCUUCCGCUACCGGGGCCACAGCCAGGCCGUGCGCUGUCUCCGCUUCAGCCCCGACGGGAAGUGGCUGGCAUCGGCCGCCGACGACCACACGGUGAAGCUCUGGGAUCUCACUGCCGGCAAGAUGAUGUCAGAGUUCCCCGGGCACACGGGGCCCGUCACCGUGGUGGAGUUUCACCCCAACGAGUACCUCCUGGCCUCCGGCAGCGCUGACCGGACGAUCCGUUUCUGGGAUCUGGAGAAGUUCCAGGUGGUGAGCUGCAUCGAAGGGGAGCCGGGUCCUGUCAGGAGCGUCCUGUUCAACCCCGAUGGCUGCUGCCUGUACAGCGGCUGCCAGGACUCGCUGCGGGUGUACGGCUGGGAGCCCGAGCGCUGCUUCGACGUGGUCCUGGUCAGCUGGGGCAAGGUGGCCGACCUGGCCAUCUGCAACGACCAGCUGAUUGGCGUGGCCUUCUCCCAGAGCAACGUGUCCUCGUACGUGGUGGACCUGACACGGGUCACCAGGACGGGCACGGUGGCCCCGGACCCCGUGCAGGACAGCAGGCCCCCGGUGCCGCAGCCGCCCCAACCCAGCGCCCCGCUGCGGCGCAUCUACGAGCGGCCCAGCACCACCUGCAGCAAACCUCAGAGCAGGGUGAAGCGGAACUCGGAGAGCGAGCGCCGCAGCCCCAGCAGCGAGGAGGAGCGGGAGGAGCGGGAGUCUCGGGCCGAGAUCCGGAACACGGAGGACUACAACGAGAUCUUCCAGCCCAAGAAGAGCAUCAGCCGGACCCCACCCCGAAGGACUGAGCCCUUCCCAGCACCCCCCGAGGAGGACGUGGCCCCAGCAAAGGAGGCUGCCAAGCCCAGCCCUGCCCCGGACCCGGAGCUCCCUGUGCCAAACAGCCCUGGACGCCUCCAGCUCGAGGUCCCACCCCAGCCCUUGGAGGCGGCCACCACCCCUGCACCCAAGGCCCAGCCCGCCGUCAUCCCUGCCGCCCGCAGCGAGCCCAUCGGGCUGAAGGCCUCCGACUUCCUGCCCGCCGUGAAGGGCCCCCAGCAGGCGGAGCUGGUGGACGAGGACGCCAUGUCCCAGAUCCGCAAAGGCCACGACACCAUGUGCGUGGUGCUCACCAGCCGCCACAAGAACCUGGACACCGUGCGGGCCGUGUGGACCACGGGCGACAUCAAGACGUCAGUCGACUCAGCCGUGGCCAUCAACGACCUGUCGGUGAUGGUGGACCUCCUCAACAUCGUCAACCAGAAAGCCUCCUUGUGGAAACUGGACCUGUGUACCACGGUCCUGCCACAGAUCGAGAAGCUCCUACAGAGCAAAUAUGAAAGCUACGUGCAGACGGGCUGCACCUCCCUGAAGCUCAUCCUGCAGCGCUUCCUGCCCCUGAUCACGGACAUCCUGGCAGCCCCGCCUUCCGUGGGCGUGGACAUCAGCCGGGAGGAGAGGCUACAUAAGUGCCGGCUCUGCUACAAGCAGCUCAAGAGCAUCAGCGGCCUGGUCAGGAGCAAGUCGGGCUUGAGUGGCCGCCACGGCAGUGCCUUCCGCGAGCUGCACCUGCUCAUGGCCAGCCUGGACUGAGUCGCCCGGUGGCUGUGCCCGGCGUGCCCGCCAGCUCACCAGCCACUGCCCGGUUCCCACUGCUGCCCUGCGGCCAGCCUGGAGGCGGCGCAGUGCUGGCCCACUGGUCACCUCCACAGCCCCCAAGCUCGGACCGCGGUGCAGCGGCGGCUGCCUGACUUGAACCGACUCUUGCUUGUGGGGCAGCCGAGAGAGCCCCAGGGUUGCUGCUGUAAUUUAUAAGGUGCCAGUUCUUGGCCCAUUGUUCUCUGGGCUUGAAAGGCAGGACGCACUGACCCUUCCCAGCCGUGGACACCGUCAUCCAGGGGUGUGACCAGCCGGCGGUGGAUGGGGAGGACUGUUUCUCCCGCCAGUGAU